ACCUAGCCCGGAUUGCAGCGGCAUCCUUUUUUGUUAUUGCGAUGAGAUAAACCUUUCAACCGAUUUCUCCUCUUUAAUCGCAAUGACGAAAAAGAUAUAGCGGAAAGCCGGACCAUAU
rnacentral:sRNA from 1 species